ACCACCCCAGGGGCUGUGGUCACUGCUUUGCUCCUCCAGAAAAAAGGAACAAAAUGGUGCCAUUUCCACUGUGAAGUCACCUUUCCUUCCACCUGGAACCAUGUUCCCCAACGAUGACCUGGAUGGUUUAGAAGAGCAAGCCAUCCACACCCACACAGCUCUAGGCUCUGCCCUGCUCAGCAGUGGUGAGAGGAUGAACUGUCCUAGCUAAAACCAGGACACGCAUGCACUGUCAGUGUUGAUCUCAGUAAUUCCAUACCAGGAACUUAAAUGAAAAGUCAUCCCAACCAAAAAAGACAAAAGAUCAAGUGGUAACUCAUUUGGAUUAGUGCAAGUUUGUAGAAGUCCCUUUGGAUCUGAAAAAAGGACUGCUGAACCACUGUCCCCGGCUAGAGGAGACCCAAUGGACUUCUUUCCAACUGGCUUACACUAGUACUGAAAUCUGAAAUAAGCAGUUGUUUGAAAUGGCUGCCAGUGCUGUGGUGACACAACCCUGCCAGCUGAUGAGCAGAGGUGGCAUGAUGGAGCAUUUCUGACUCAAGAGAACUCCUGUGCUGACCCGUCCUCCUCCAGAGCCAGCAGCCUGACGUGCUGCUUCCCUGGGCACAUGCCUUGGGGUGCUCUGUGCUCACCAAGCAGCACAGGGAGAGGCUGCAGCCUGGGUGUGCUGCUUUCAAAGGGACAAAGAGCCAGGGCUGGAAGUGUGUACUCCGAGUGACAGAUGCAGUGCAG